UGCAGAUGAUGAUUUACGAUAUUUGCUAUCUGAGUAGCAGUGAUUACAUGCUUAACCACCAAGAUCGCUGAUGCA
rnacentral:snoRNA from 1 species